rnacentral:rRNA from 1 species
CCCGGAGAUGGGGACUGAGACAAGGCCCCAGGCCCUACGGGGCGCAGCAGGUGCGAAAAUUCCGCAAUGCGUGCAGGCGUGACGGAGCGACUCCCAGUGCCGAUGGUCUAACAAUCGUCGGCUUUUCUGGAACGUAAAAAGUUUCAGAUAAUAAGGGCCGGGUAAGACUGGUGCCAGCCGCCGCGGUAACACCAGCGGCCCAAGUGGUAGCCGAUUUUAUUGGGCCUAAAGCGUCCGUAGCCGGAUCGGCAAGUCCCUUGUGAAAUCGGACGGCUUAAUCGUUCGGCUUGCAUGGGAAACUGCGGAUCUUGGGGUCGGCAGGCGUCGAGGGUACUCCGGGGGUAGCGGUGAAAUGCUAUAAUCCCUGGGGGACCGCCAGUGGCGAAAGCGCUCGGCGGGGCCGAACCCGACGGUGAGGGACGAAGGCCAGGGGAGCGAACCGGAUUAGAUACCCGGGUAGUCCUGGCUGUAAAGUAUGUGGGCUAGGUGCUGGGCUCUCCUCGAGAGUGCUCGGUGCCGAAGGGAAGCCGUUAAGCCCACCGCCUGGGAAGUACGGCCGCAAGGUUGAAACUUAAAGAAAUUGGCGGGGGAGCACCACAAGGGGUGGAGCC